CCCAGCAGCCCCUUCUCAUGCUACUUGUGGUUCAGAUUAAGUCAACAAGGAGCUAAGCAGUUUUGGGCCUGGUCAAUACUUGGCUGGGACACCAACUAGCAAAGCUGGGUUGCUGCUGGGA
rnacentral:rRNA from 1 species